AGACAGCGAUGGAGAGAGAUAGAGAUGCAGAGGGACAGAGACAGAGAGAGACUGGAGAGGUGUUUUUUUUGUUUUUUGUUUUUUUUUACCAGUCCUUAGAUAAAUAAGGGGAAGUACUGUCUAAUUCUGAAAUGGAGAGAUUGACCUCUGAUGGAAAUACGGUUGUUCAUUAAUUUAUAGUAACUCUGAGUUAGACAAUAUGUGGACCUGUGUAUUAGGAAGAGAGCAAGGAGAAUAGAGGGAAUCAGCAAAUUGUCUUCUGAUGGUUUUGAUUUUCUCAGGUGGGAAGCAGGGCUUUUAGCAGUGAGGAUGUAUGCAGUGAGGAUUUGUAGCAGAAGAUGCUCUCCUCUACCCCAGUCAGUAUAUAUCAGUCUGUGAGUUGCCCUGGUAACAGUUCCAAGUUCUUGUUACUUUUGUUUCUUAGAAAGGGCUGCUCACUAUGAUGCAUAUUAUAAGAACCAGUCCCCAAUCACAAGCCAUUCUACCUCUGUACUUUCUGCUUCUUAUCCCAUAUAAACCCUAGACCAACAGAGAUCAGGGCCUGAUAUUUGGGAGAAUGAUCCUGAUCAGUGCCUGGUGACAUCAAUAAAUUUGCCUCCAAAUCCAGGGUGUUGUUUUGCUGUUUCUGUUUACCAUUGCAGAUUCAAAGCAUGAGGGCAAAGGAAAAGGUAUGGAAUAGCCAUGCAGGAGACAAAUGGAGUGGGAAAUACAGUACGCCUGCCAGGGAGCAUUAAGGACUCAGCUGAGCCUCUCGAUCCUGAAUUUAAAAUGGAGCAGUGAGAUUGUUUUGUAUGUCUUUCUUCUGUGAGUUUGAAGUAGAUGGAAAGUUGGAUAUAAAUAGGAUCAUGGAUUGGGCAAACUCACAUGACUCAGUGAAAAAGGGAUGAAGACAUUGAAGAAUUUCAGCUGGGAAAGAUCCAUGCUGGGAAGGCCCAAAGGUCAGCGGUGGAAGACAGAAAGUCUAUGUCAGCGGGGUGAAGGAGCUGUGCUGGUGGAAUGGGGGUUCUAUGCUGGAGCCAAGAAGUCACACUCACAGCAAAGACCAGGGCUGUCCUGAAAGGCACAACAGCCAUCCUCAGUGACAUGGAGGCCCCGAGCUCCUCUGACGACAAGCACAGUCGGGUACAUGCCAGGAAGCCAUCCUGAAGACCAAGUGGCACACAUCUUCUCCUCCAGAGCCAGGAAGCAAUGCUCGAUGUGAGGACCAAAGCUUCUCCAAGAGAACUGAUGGCUCAAACAGCAACUCGUAGGAGAACCCAUAAUGCUUUAACGCAACAACACAUUAACGCCUCAACGCCUUAAUCUUCUCUACCUAUUUAUGCUGGCAACUUUCCUCAGGUGGAGCAUCUUUGCUCAAUGCCAUGCUGAUGUAAUCCAGCUGGCGUUAAGUUGACCACCAGUUAUUAAUCCAUAACACUAUCCCUAUGGUAUCCCCCUGCAUGCAGGUACAGCUAUGUAGAAUACUUCGUGAAGCCAACACAAUUUGGACACCAAACACAAUAAGGAUAAACAAACAAAAAUGAUGAAAAGUUUUGAGAGUGUAAGAACUGGGAUGACUAUGCGGCUCACUGAUAACACAUGUGGUCUAACACGUGAAGCCUGUCCCAGAAUGGCAAACAAAAACAAAAACAGCAGGAACAAAAUGAGGGGAACAGAGCUGAACCCUGCAUGCUGAAUAUGAAAAACAAUCACAUGGAAUAUAGUUAUCCAUAAAUUUAGGGCCAUUACAGCCUUAAAUACAUACACUAAAUAUAGUGAUAUAUAUAUAUA